AGUGAACGCUGGCGGCGUGCCUAAUACAUGCAAGUCGAACGGAGUGGCGCACGGGUGAGUAAUGUAUAGCUAAUCUUCCCUACACUAGAGGACAACAGUUAGAAACGACUGCUAAUACUCUAUAGUGUAGGAUGAGGGUAUAUUGUAUCAGCUAGUUGGUGAGGUAAUGGCUAACCAAGGCUAUGACGCGUAACUGGUCUGAGAGGAUGAUCAGUCACACUCGAACUGAGACACGGUUGAGACUCCUUCGGGAGGCAGCAGUAGGGAAUACUGGUCAAUGGGGGUAAGCCUGGAGGAUCUUCGCCGCGUGGAGGAUGACAAUUUGCGGAGCGUAAACGUCAUUUGUUAGGGAAGCGGUACCUAACGAAUAAGCACCGGCUAACUCCGUGCCAGCAGCCGCGGUAAUAC
rnacentral:rRNA from 1 species